CGUGGGCGUAGGACCCUCCGAGCCAGGUGUGGGAUAUAAUCUCGUGGUGCGCCGUUUUUUAAGCCCGUCGGAAAAGCGCAGUAUUCGGGUGGGGUGACCUGAUUUUCCAGGUGCCCUCAGUCACCCCUUUCUUUGACUCGGAAAGGGAACUCCCUGACCCCUUGCGCUUCCCAAGUGAGGCAAUGCCUCGCCCUGCUUCGGCUCGCACACGGUGUGCGCACCCACUGACCUGCGCCCACUGUCUGGCACUCCCUAGUGAGAUGAACUGGGUACCUCAGAUGGAAAUGCAGAAAUCACCCGUCUUCUGCGUCGCUCACGCUGGGAGCUGUAGACCGGAGCUGUUCCUAUUCGGCCAUCUUGGCUCCUCCUGCUUCUUUCCUUGAUAUGAUGUUCAAACCAGGAAAAUGUGCAAAUAUCAAGGUUACCUGGGUCUGCUGGUCACUUCUAGUUUUUGGACUCUUGAAGAUGCUGGACUGUACUGCUGCCAUCUCGGCUCACUGCAACCUCCCUGCCUGAUUCUCCUGCCUCAGCCUGCCCAGUGCCUGCGAUUGCAGGCGCGCGCCGCCACGCCUGACUGUUUUUCGUACUUUUUUGGUGGAGACGGGGUUCCCCUGUGUUGGCCGGGCUGGUCUCCAGCUCCUAAUCGCGAGUGAUCCGCCAGCCUUGGCCUCACAAGGUGCCGGGAUUGCAGACGGAGUCUCGUUCACUCACUGCUCAAUGGUGCCCAGGCUGGGGUGCAGUGGCGUAAUCUCGGCUGGCUACAACCUCCACCUCCCAGCCGCCUGCCUUGGCCUCCCAAUGUGCCAAGACUGCAGCCUCUGCCCGGCCGCCACCCCGUCUGGGAAGUGAGGAGCGUCUCUGCCUGGCCGCCCAUCGUCUGGG
rnacentral:lncRNA from 1 species